AACUUGAAACACCUAGGAAGAUCCAAAAUCUAACACACACAGCUCAGCUCUGUCAGCAAUGGAAACAUGUUUGAUGAAAUGCUCUCAUGGAAGUGCUCUUUUCAGAGCCCUCAAACCUCUCAGUCUGAAGCUUCCCAAUUCCAUUCAUUGCUCAUCCAUGGCCAUCCACACUGAUGGGGGAAGAUGGACUAAGAGAGCAUAUGAUACAUUGUUGUUGGAUGCUGGAGGUACCCUUUUGCAGUUGGCAAAGCCUGUGGAAGAGAUUUACGCCACCAUUGGCUGUAAAUACGGUUUGUCUGCAACAUCAGCUGAAAUAAAGCAAGGGUUUAGGAGAGCUUUUGCUGCUCCGUGGCCUGAGAAGCUUCGUUACCAGGGAGAUGGGAGACCAUUUUGGAAAUUGGUUGUUUCCGAAGCCACUGGUUGUGCUGAUAAUGAUUAUUUUGAAGAAGUUUAUGAGUACUAUGCAAAAGGUGAUGCAUGGCGCCUUCCAGAUGGAGCUUAUGAAACAAUAACCCUUCUCAGGGAUGCUGGAGUUAAGAUCGCUGUUGUCUCCAAUUUUGAUACCCGUCUAAGGAAGUUACUGAAAGACCUGAAUGUUUUAGAUCUGUUUGAUGCUGUUAUCAUAUCUUCAGAAGUUGGAUAUGAAAAACCAGACAUAGAGAUAUUUAAAGCUGCUUUAGGUACAUAGAAUCACCAAAUCACCUUUUAAGUAUCAAGUUAAUGUUGAGGCUUGCAAAGCAGUACACGUUGGAGAUGAUCAAAAGGCAGAUAAGGAAGGGGCCAAUGCCAUUGGGAUUGAUUGCUGGUUAUGGGGAAUUGAUGUAAAGACAUUCUCUGACAUAGGAAACCGAAUACUCAUUUCUGAGCUGUAGCUUCCGCGGAUCUGAGUACCAGACUGCAUAUUUGCUAAAAGAGUGAUGGUUGGACAACUUCAAUUGCUUCCAAGGACAAAAACUAAACGUAUUGGAUACUUUGAGGAAUGAUAUAGAAAUUUCUGUAUUGAAUAAGCGAAUUGUAAUAUCUCCCAACUAUUAAUAGAUUUGUGGAUACACAAUGGAUUUUUUUCCUGAGUUAGGAUUUGAUGGAUUACAUUUCUGUCAUUUUCA